rnacentral:rRNA from 1 species
GACAGAGGGGGCAAGCGUUGCUCGGAAUUACUGGGCGUAAAGGGCGCGUAGGCGGAAUGGCAAGUCGGUCGUGAAAUCCUUCGGCUCAACCGAAGAACGUCGAUCGAAACUGCCGUUCUUGAGGAUUGCAGAGGAGACUGGAAUUCCCGGUGUAGCGGUGAAAUGUGUAGAGAUCGGGAGGAACACCGGUGGCGAAGGCAGGUCUCUGGGCUGACACUGACGCUCAUGCACGAAAGCGUGGGGAGCAAACAGG